rnacentral:rRNA from 1 species
CCUACGGGGGGCAGCAGUGAGGAAUAUUGGUCAAUGGCCGGAAGGCUGAACCAGCCAAGUCGCGUGAGGGAUGACGGCGCUACGCGUUGUAGACCUCUUUUGCCGGGGAGCAAAAGGCCGGACUCGUCCCGCCCCGAGGGUACCCGGAGAAAAAGCAUCGGCUAACUCCGUGCCAGCAGCCGCGGUAAUACGGAGGAUGCGAGCGUUAUCCGGAUUCAUUGGGUUUAAAGGGUGCGCAGGCGGGCCUGUAAGUCGGCGGUAAAAUGGCGGGGCUCAACCCCUCCGCGCCGUCGAAACUGGGUUCCUUGAGUGGGCCAGAGGCAUGCGGAAUGCGUGGUGUAGCGGUGAAAUGCAUAGAUAUCGCGCAGAACCCCGAUUGCGAAGGCAGCGUGCCGGGGCCCAACUGACGCUGAUGCACGAAAGCGCGGGGAUCGAACAGGAUUAGAUACCCGUGUAGUC